rnacentral:misc_RNA from 1 species
AGAAAAAGCCAGAACUCUUGAUAUUUAUAUAAACUUGUGAACAAAUAUUACAAUUAGAUUACCUUCCAAAAUUACAGACAAAAUCCUCAGCUAAUACCAAGAGGAUUCAUCGCCAUGACCAAUUAUCAGAUGAGAAACAAUGGCAAGUGCAGUCUUAAAAGGACCGUGGGCCAUUUCCUUCUUCGAGAUUAAUUAAAAAAAAGGGAAAGAAGAAGAAUAUAUACAGUAUUGGACUAAAAAUCACACAGCAACACAAAAUAUUAUACACAAAAACAGUCAAUUAACAAGAAUAGGCCAAUCGGUGAAUCACACGAUCCCUAAGGAUCCCAUUGUAAAGAGCCACUCUAUUUGCAGGCAUUCCUUUGCCUUUAGCACCACUGCUACCACCACCACCACCAAUCUUCUUGAACUUUGGUGGAGAAUAUGAAUUCUUGCCAAGAACAAUGGUAUCACGCUGCCUCCUGAACUCUUCCCCGUUCCCACUUGGAUCCACCACAUCCUCUGCAAAGUGCACCCGCUUUUUCUUCUUCUUUUUCUUCCCCUCUUCACAACCCACCAAAAAAAUAAAAAAAAUAAAACAGAAACCAAAUUAGCAUACAAGAAAAGAAAAGAAAAGAAGAUAUAUCUGAAGUCCAAUUAUUAUCAAGAACAAUCAUGUAUAUAUAUGCAUGUAAAUAUGCAGAGAUGUCUUUGUUAGAUAUACCUGAUGAGAUACAGGAGCGCAGAACUUGGUCUGAAGAUUGUGGAAUUUGGUCAAUAGGUAAGAGGGAGGCAGGUAGAGAUUUUUGAAGGCGAAGAGCGAGGAGAAUUACGGUGCCGGAGACAGCCAUGGCAGUGGCCAGAACCACUCCCUGUGAACAGAGUAUAGAGGACAUGGUUGUUGAAGAAGAAAAGAAAGUGUAUGCAGGCUUGGAAGGAGAAUAUGCUGUGUGGGGUUUUUACCCUUUUACAUGGGGCAGAAGACGAGGGAUAAAUAGAUAAACAAACACAGCUUGGUGGGUGCAGUGGAAAAAAGAAAGGGAAAUUAAAAUGUCAACAUAUUGUACAAUCCUGGUUCAUGGAAGAACCAAAUGGAUUAUUAUUUUAAGUGGG